rnacentral:rRNA from 1 species
CGGCUUAGAGUUUGAUCCUGGCUCAGAUUGAACGCUGGCGGCAUGCCUUACACAUGCAAGUCGAACGGCAGCACGGGAGCAAUCCUGGUGGCGAGUGGCGAACGGGUGAGUAAUAUAUCGGAACGUGCCCAGUCGUGGGGGAUAACGUAGCGAAAGCUACGCUAAUACCGCAUACGAUCUACGGAUGAAAGCGGGGGAUCGCAAGACCUCGCGCGAUUGGAGCGGCCGAUAUCAGAUUAGCUAGUUGGUGGGGUAAAGGCCCACCAAGGCGACGAUCUGUAGCUGGUCUGAGAGGACGACCAGCCACACUGGAACUGAGACACGGUCCAGACUCCUACGGGAGGCAGCAGUGGGGAAUUUUGGACAAUGGGCGCAAGCCUGAUCCAGCAAUGCCGCGUGCAGGAUGAAGGCCUUCGGGUUGUAAAAUGCUUUUGUACGGAACGAAACGGCGAGCUCUAAUAGUGCUUGCNAAUANUAAGUACCGUA